UUCCGUAGGUGAACCUGCGGAAGGAUCAUUAC
rnacentral:rRNA from 95 species